rnacentral:rRNA from 1 species
UUGUUCUUUAAAUGAGGACUAGAAUCAACGGCACCACGAGGAUCCUACUGUCUCCCUACUCCAAUCAGUGAAACUGAUCUCUCCGUGAAGAAGCGGGGAUACAAAUAUAAGACGAGAAGACCCCAUGGAGCUUUAAACCCAACGACACCCAUUUUCUUUAUACCCUAGUAUUCAUUUGGCUAUGUUUGAUUGGUUUUAGGUUGGGG